AUUGAACGCUGGCGGCAGGCUUAACACAUGCAAGUCGAGCGGAAACGGUGGUAGCUUGCUACCAGGCGUCGAGCGGCGGACGGGUGAGUAAUACUUAGGAAUCUACCUAGUAGUGGGGGAUAGCUCGGGGAAACUCGAAUUAAUACCGCAUACGACCUACGGGAGAAAGGGGGCAGUUUACUGCUCUCGCUAUUAGAUGAGCCUAAGUCGGAUUAGCUAGAUGGUGGGGUAAAGGCCUACCAUGGCGACGAUCUGUAGCUGGUCUGAGAGGAUGAUCAGCCACACCGGGACUGAGACACGGCCCGGACUCCUACGGGAGGCAGCAGUGGGGAAUAUUGGACAAUGGGGGAAACCCUGAUCCAGCCAUGCCGCGUGUGUGAAGAAGGCCUUUUGGUUGCAAAGCACUUUAAGCAGUGAAGAAGACUCCGUGGUUAAUACCCACGGACGAUGACAUUAGCUGCAGAAUAAGCACCGGCUAACUCUGUGCCAGCAGCCGCGGUAAUACAGAGGGUGCUAGCGUUAAUCGGAAUUACUGGGCGUAAAGGGAGCGUAGGUGGCUCUAUAAGUCAGAUGUGAAAUCCCCGGGCUUAACCUGGGAACUGCAUCUGAAACUGUAGAGCUAGAGUAUGUGAGAGGAAGGUAGAAUUCCAGGUGUAGCGGUGAAAUGCGUAGAGAUCUGGAGGAAUACCGAUGGCGAAGGCAGCCUUCUGGCAUAAUACUGACACUGAGGCUCGAAAGCGUGGGUAGCAAACAGGAUUAGAUACCCUGGUAGUCCACGCCGUAAACGAUGUCUACUAGUCGUUGGGUCCCUUGAGGACUUAGUGACGCAGCUAACGCAAUAAGUAGACCGCCUGGGGAGUACGGCCGCAAGGUUAAAACUCAAAUGAAUUGACGGGGGCCCGCACAAGCGGUGGAGCAUGUGGUUUAAUUCGAUGCAACGCGAAGAACCUUACCUGGUCUUGACAUAUCUAGAAUCCUGCAGAGAUGCGGGAGUGCCUUCGGGAAUUAGAAUACAGGUGCUGCAUGGCUGUCGUCAGCUCGUGUCGUGAGAUGUUGGGUUAAGUCCCGCAACGAGCGCAACCCUUGUCCUUAGUUACCAGCGGGUUAAGCCGGGAACUCUAAGGAUACUGCCAGUGACAAACUGGAGGAAGGCGGGGACGACGUCAAGUCAUCAUGGCCCUUACGACCAGGGCUACACACGUGCUACAAUGGUAGGUACAGAGGGCAGCUACACAGCGAUGUGAUGCGAAUCUCAAAAAGCCUAUCGUAGUCCAGAUUGGAGUCUGCAACUCGACUCCAUGAAGUAGGAAUCGCUAGUAAUCGCGGAUCAGAAUGCCGCGGUGAAUACGUUCCCGGGCCU
rnacentral:rRNA from 1 species